UAAGCGUGUAGGUGUGUGUUCCAGGUAAAUCCGGUUCACUUUAACACUGAGGCGUGAUGACGAGGCACUACGGUGCUGAAGUAACAAAUGCCCUGCUUCCAGGAAAAGCCUCUAAGCAUCAGGUAACAUCAAAUCGUACCCCAAACCGACACAGGUGGUCAGGUAGAGAAUACCAAGGCGCUUGAGAGAACUCGGGUGAAGGAACUAGGCAAAAUGGUGCCGUAACUUCGGGAGAAGGCACGCUGACACGUAGGUGAAGUGAUUUACUCACGGAGCUGAAGUCAGUCGAAGAUACCAGCUGGCUGCAACUGUUUAUUAAAAACACAGCACUGUGCAAACACGAAAGUGGACGUAUACGGUGUGACGCCUGCCCGGUGCCGGAAGGUUAAUUGAUGGGGUCAGCGCAAGCGAAGCUCCUGAUCGAAGCCCCGGUAAACGGCGGCCGUAACUAUAACGGUCCUAAGGUAGCGAAAUUCCUUGUCGGGUAAGUUCCGACCUGCACGAAUGGCGUAAUGAUGGCCAGGCUGUCUCCACCCGAGACUCAGUGAAAUUGAACUCGCUGUGAAGAUGCAGUGUACCCGCGGCAAGACGGAAAGACCCCGUGAACCUUUACUAUAGCUUGACACUGAACAUUGAGCCUUGAUGUGUAGGAUAGGUGGGAGGCUUUGAAGUGUGGACGCCAGUCUGCAUGGAGCCGACCUUGAAAUACCACCCUUUAAUGUUUGAUGUUCUAACGUGGACCCGUUACCCGGGUUGCGGACAGUGUCUGGUGGGUAGUUUGACUGGGGCGGUCUCCUCCUAAAGAGUAACGGAGGAGCACGAAGGUUGGCUAAUCCUGGUCGGACAUCAGGAGGUUAGUGCAAUGGCAUAAGCCAGCUUGACUGCGAGCGUGACGGCGCGAGCAGGUGCGAAAGCAGGUCAUAGUGAUCCGGUGGUUCUGAAUGGAAGGGCCAUCGCUCAACGGAUAAAAGGUACUCCGGGGAUAACAGGCUGAUACCGCCCAAGAGUUCAUAUCGACGGCGGUGUUUGGCACCUCGAUGUCGGCUCAUCACAUCCUGGGGCUGAAGUAGGUCCCAAGGGUAUGGCUGUUCGCCAUUUAAAGUGGUACGCGAGCUGGGUUUAGAACGUCGUGAGACAGUUCGGUCCCUAUCUGCCGUGGGCGCUGGAGAACUGAGGGGGGCUGCUCCUAGUACGAGAGGACCGGAGUGGACGCAUCACUGGUGUUCGGGUUGUCAUGCCAAUGGCACUGCCCGGUAGCUAAAUGCGGAAGAGAUAAGUGCUGAAAGCAUCUAAGCACGAAACUUGCCCCGAGAUGAGUUCUCCCUGAGACUUUAGGUCUCCUGAAGGAACGUUGAAGACGACGACGUUGAUAGGCCGGGUGUGUAAGCGCAGCGAUGCGUUGAGCUAACCGGUACUAAUGAACCGUGAGGCUUAACCUUACAACGCCG
rnacentral:rRNA from 1 species